rnacentral:rRNA from 1 species
GUUUAGAUCAAUAUCAGCACUUCCUCAGUCUUGUCUGANCUUGGAAGCAAAGUCAAGCUACGCUUGAUUAAUAUUUGGANGGGAGACCAUUUGAAAAUAUCAGCUAUUAUAGGCU